GUUCGCGCAGGCCCGAAGAGGGAAGGAGGUGCAAACCCUCCGCUGCCCCCGCAACUGUGACCGGGGAGCGAUCCUGCUACAUGCCACUGGGCCCUGGCCCGGGAAGGCGGCGGGAAAGCGUCGAUCCGGGAGCCAGGAGACCUGCCCAUGACU
rnacentral:ncRNA from 1 species